UACGUAGGGCGCAAGCGUUAUCUGGAAUUAUUGGGCGUAAAGAGCUCGUAGGCGGUUUGUCGCGUCUGCCGUGAAAGUCCGGGGCUCAACUCCGGAUCUGCGGUGGGUACGGGCAGACUAGAGUGAUGUAGGGGAGACUGGAAUUCCUGGUGUAGCGGUGAAAUGCGCAGAUAUCAGGAGGAACACCGAUGGCGAAGGCAGGUCUCUGGGCAUUAACUGACGCUGAGGAGCGAAAGCAUGGGGAGCGAACAGG
rnacentral:rRNA from 1 species